CACAUCAGGUUUUUAAAGAAUGAAGUGGAACGGCUGAAGAAGCAACUGAGAGCUGCUCAGUUACAGCAUUCAGAGAAAAUGGCACAGUAUCUGGAGGAGGAACGUCACAUGAGAGAAGAGAACUUGAGGCUCCAGAGGAAGCUGCAGAGGGAGAUGGAGAGAAGAGAAGCCCUCUGUCGACAGCUCUCCGAGAGUGAGUCCAGCUUAGAAAUGGACGACGAAAGGUAUUUUAAUGAGAUGUCUGCACAAGGAUUAAGACCUCGCACUGUGUCCAGCCCGAUCCCUUACACACCUUCUCCGAGUUCAAGCAGGCCUAUAUCACCUGGUCUAUCAUAUGCAAGUCACACGGUUGGUUUCACGCCACCAACUUCACUGACUAGAGCUGGAAUGUCUUAUUACAAUUCCCCGGGUCUUCACGUGCAGCACAUGGGAACAUCCCAUGGUAUCACAAGGCCUUCACCACGGAGAAGCAACAGUCCUGACAAAUUCAAACGGCCCACGCCGCCUCCAUCUCCCAACACACAGACCCCAGUCCAGCCACCUCCGCCUCCACCUCCGCCACCCAUGCAGCCCACGGUCCCCUCAGCAGCCACCUCGCAGCCUACUCCUUCGCAACAUUCGGCGCACCCCUCCUCCCAGCCUUAAUGCAUGAGCUUAGUCUGAAUUUCAAGUUGGGACUCAUCCAAUGGAGCCGUCUACUCAACGCCAAAGGCUUCCUUCUCUGGCAUAUUUGGAUAUGACUUAUUUGCACUGAGGUUAUCUAGGCUUCACUAUCCAUUGUGUUGUAAAUGUUUGUCAGAAAUGCAGCCAGUGUUGUGGGUCUACAACACUAACCAGACGACUUUUUCCAUCAGUGUUUUACUUGAAUCUUCAUGUACGUCCAUUCCCUGGCUGGAACCUUCGCUGUUUGGUAUUUGGUAUUUCAGCAGCAGUGUGCAAUUUUUGCUUGGCCCAGAGCUUCAUUCUCCUGGCUUUUAGGUUUGUAAAAGAAAAAGGGAUAUCUUUUUUAUAUUUUUUUCCAUGAAUCUGCAGAAAAUUACUGAGCUGUUGUUACCCUCCUCUCAUUAUAAUAGUGUUUACCAAACAUACCAAUAAUUCAGCACUACAAUUCAGACCUUUGAAAAUCUGGCUUUCAGUGUAGAACAGAAAGUUAGAUGAAUCAGUGCCCAAGACAUAUUUUCUGUUUAACAGAACUUUCUACAGAUACAUUUUUUACAGGUUAUUUUCAUUGUGUUAUUGACAUCCAUGUCUCUCGUAAAACAGAUGGCCCAAAGUAAUGAAUCAUGUGGCUGUACCUUCUCCACAUAAAUGGGAUGGAUAAUUAUCGUAUAUUAAGAUGUGAUUCUCUUUUUUAUCCUUAAUGUUAAUCUACUUAACCUGGCCCCCUCUAACAUGAGUCGAUAAAUGUUGUCCUACUCACCGGUGGUUUCAAUGGCUAAUUAGAAUGUGUUAUUUGAUUUCUGCUGCAGAAGGCAGUGUGAUUGUAACAAAAACAAUGCGGCUUCCCCCUUUCGUACUUCAUUUGUGUUCUCUUAAAAUAGAGUUUGAACAAAUAUUUUAAAGGUGCAAAAUACCAUUAGAAAAUACUAUUUGAAAUGGACAUUAUCGCAUUAUCUUGGCAUAAUGGCCAGAAAAUAUUGUAUUGCUUGGCAGAAAAGAAAAUAAGGUCUAAAGGAAAGUAGCACAUUAGCAUUGAUGGCUGUUCAUUUCACCCAGUAUAAGCAAGUGCAGUGUACAAAGAAGUAUAUUCUGAAUACAUUAUUUCCAUUCAUUUAGCACAAAUAAAUCAUUUGGUUUCAC
rnacentral:lncRNA from 1 species